UACGGGGGGGGCAAGCGUUGUUCGGAAUUACGUGGCGUAAAGGGUUUGUAGGUGGCUCGCUAAGUCAGACGUGAAAUCCCUCAGCUUAACUGGGGAACUGCGUCUGAAACUGAUGAGCUCGAGUGCAGGAGAGGACGCGGAAUUCCAGGUGUAGCGGUGAAAUGCGCAGAGUAUCGGGAGGAACACCAGUAGCGAAGGCGGCACUCUGGGCCGGUACUGACGCUGAGGAGCGAAAGCGUGGGGAGCGAACAGG
rnacentral:rRNA from 1 species